rnacentral:rRNA from 1 species
GACGAACGCUGGCGGCGUGCUUAACACAUGCAAGUCGAACGGAAAGGCCCCUUUGGGGGUACUCGAGUGGCGAACGGGUGAGUAACACGUGAGUAACCUGCCCUUGACUUCGGGAUAACUUCAGGAAACUGGGGCUAAUACCGGAUAGGAAUCCUUGCUGCAUGGUGGGGGUUGGAAAGCUUCGGCGGUUUUGGAUGGACUCGCGGCUUAUCAGCUUGUUGGUGGGGCAGUGGCUUACCAAGGCUUUGACGGGUAGCCGGCCUGAGAGGGCGACCGGCCACAUUGGGACUGAGAUACGGCCCAGACUCCUACGGGAGGCAGCAGUGGGGAAUAUUGCACAAUGGGCGGAAGCCUGAUGCAGCAACGCCGCGUGCGGGAUGACGGCCUUCGGGUUGUAAACCGCUUUCAGCAGGGGCGAAGCUUGUGGUGACGGUACCUGCAGAAGAAGCACCGGCUAACUACGUG